rnacentral:lncRNA from 1 species
CUAAGAUCAAGACAUUUAUUCAGAAAGAUUCACUCUUCCGAAGUAUUAUUGCAUUAGAGGCAUGGGCUAUGCAAAAAUAAAGAUAUUUCGAGGAAAUAAAAGGAGCAAGUGCUCGACAACCUCGCAGAAAAAAUGGAUAAGUGUCCGGCAGUAGAAUUAGGGAUACCUCGGUAUCCACUUAAAAAAAAGGAGAAGAAAAAGAGAAAAUGAUAGCCCAUGGUCCCUCUAAUAAGCAAUAUGCCAGCAAGAGUUGACAAAGAUUUUAAUUUCCAAAGUCUUUGAUCUAAGAGUAUGACAUUCCCCUCCUCGGAUCCCAUUUUGAUCAGGCAAUAAAUGCAAAGUAAGUAUGC